GAUGAAGAACGUAGCGAAUCGCGAUAUGUAGUGUGAUCUGCCUCUAGUGAAUCAUCAAAUCUUUGAACGCAUCUUGCACCCUUUGGUAUUCCAAAGGGUACGCCUGUUUCAGUAUCAUUAUAACCUUUCUCCCCAAGGCCUUUUGGCCAAGGAGGGAAAGAGCAUAACCGGUGGCCCAGCGGUCUCCCUUCAGGGGGAUUGUCUCGGCUGGAAUGACUGUUGCAAUGGUGGGCCAAAUGGUCUUCCGCACUUGAUAAAUGUACUUUUAUAAAGAGCGGGACCGGUCUGCCGAAAGUUGUAACUAAACCCUUUACCUUUGAUCUGAAAUCAGGCGGGAUUACCCGCUGAACUUAAGCAUAUCAAUAAGCGGAGGA
rnacentral:misc_RNA from 1 species